rnacentral:lncRNA from 1 species
CGGCGAGUGGAGGCUCGGGAGGGGCUGCGUGUGCGCGGAGGCGGGCUGUGGCCCGUGGCCGCCGCCGGAGCCUUUCGCUUGCGGUGAUUUUGGGCUCCCUCGGUUGGCAGUGUUGAUGUGUGCCUGUGAGUUGUGAGCGAGGCAGAUUUCCUCGCGUGGCCGGCACGACCUUCACCUUUGCAGAAGGCAACCGGGACCCUCAGUUGAUUCCAGUUCAAAAGUUGCUGUGGUCCUGGAAAUGAGGAUUCUGGG